rnacentral:rRNA from 1 species
UGGAAUUAUUACCCGCCAUAACCCCUUACGGGGGAAAGAUUUAUCGGGGAAGGAUUGGCCCGCGUUGGAUUAGCUAGUUGGUGGGGUAAAGGCCUACCAAGGCGACGAUCCAUAGCUGGUCUGAGAGGAUGAUCAGCCACAUUGGGACUGAGACACGGCCCAAACUCCUACGGGAGGCAGCAGUGGGGAAUAUUGGACAAUGGGCGCAAGCCUGAUCCAGCCAUGCCGCGUGAGUGAUGAAGGCCUUAGGGUUGUAAAGCUCUUUCACCGGAGAAGAUAAUGACGGUAUC